CUGACGCAGCGACGCCGCGUGAGCGAAGAAGGCCUUCGGGUUGUAAAGCUCUGUCUAGGGGGAAGAUAGUGACGGUACCCCUGGAGGAAGCCCCGGCUAACUACGUGCCAGCAGCCGCGGUAAGACGUAGGGGGCGAGCGUUGUCCGGAAUUACUGGGCGUAAAGGGCGUGUAGGCGGCCUGGUAAGUCAGCUGUGAAAUUCCUCGGCUCAACCGAGGGCUUGCAGUUGAAACUAGUAGGCUUGAGUGCAGGAGAGGAAGGUGGAAUC
rnacentral:rRNA from 1 species